rnacentral:rRNA from 1 species
UACGUAGGGUGCGAGCGUUAAUCGGAAUACUGGGCGUAAAGCGUGCGCAGGCGGUUCGUUGUGUCGGCGGUGAAAGCCCCGGGCUUAACCUGGGAAUGGCCGUUGAAACUGGCGAACUGGAGUGUGGCAGAGGGGGGUGGAAUUCCGCGUGUAGCAGUGAAUGCGUAGAGAUGCGGAGGAACACCGAUGGCGAAGGCAGCCCCCUGGGCUAACACUGACGCUCAGGCACGAAAGCGUGGGGAGCAAACAGG